GAAAUUACGCCUUCAUGAAGCUGGAAUUGCUGUAAUGGCAGGUCAGCAUACUGCCGUGAAUACGUUCCCGGGCCUCGUACACACCGCCCGUCACACCAUGAGAGUUGGGAAUACCCGAAGCCUGUGAGCUAACUUAUAGAGGCAGCAGUCGAAGGUAGAAUCAAUGAUUGGGGUGAAGUCGUAACAAGGUACC
rnacentral:rRNA from 1 species